rnacentral:rRNA from 1 species
UACGGAGGGAGCUAGCGUUGUUCGGAAUUACUGGGCGUAAAGCGCACGUAGGCGGCUAUUCAAGUCGGGGGUGAAAGCCCGGGGCUCAACCCCGGAACUGCCCUCGAAACUAGGUAGCUAGAAUCUUGGAGAGGCGAGUGGAAUUCCGAGUGUAGAGGUGAAAUUCGUAGAUAUUCGGAAGAACACCAGUGGCGAAGGCGACUCGCUGGACAAGUAUUGACGCUGAGGUGCGAAAGCGUGGGGAGCGAACGGG